rnacentral:rRNA from 1 species
CCCCUAGACGUUCUGGGCUGCACGCGCGCUACAAUAAUACGCACAGCGAGUAUCACCGAGCUCGAAAGGGCAAGGUAAACAAUAGAAAAGGUACUGUAAUGGUUAUAGAUCCUUGUAAUUAUUGAUCUUCAACGAGGAAUUCCUAGUAAGUAUGUGUCAUCAUCACGCACUGAUUACGUCCCUGCCCUUUGUACACACCGCCCGUCGCUCCUACCGAUUGAGUGAGCCGAUGAAACUGCCGGAUGUGGACUAUUCACAGUCUGCAGAAGAUAUUUGAAUCGUAGCGCUUAGAGGAAGGAGAAGUCGUAACA